rnacentral:rRNA from 1 species
UACAGAGGUCUCAAGCGUUGUUCGGAUUCAUUGGGCGUAAAGGGUGCGUAGGCGGCGAAGCAAGUCUGGUGUGAAAUCCCGGGGCUCAACUCCGGAACUGCACUGGAUACUGCUUUGCUAGAGUACUGGAGAGGGAACUGGAAUUUACGGUGUAGCAGUGAAAUGCGUAGAGAUCGUAAGGAAGACCAGUGGCGAAGGCGAGUUCCUGGACAGUAACUGACGCUGAGGCACGAAGGCCAGGGGAGCAAACGGG